AUCAAUAAGCGGAGGAAAAGAACUUACCAGGAUUCCCCUAGUAACGGCGAGCGAACCGGGAAGAGCCCAGCAUGAAAAUCGGCCGAUCUACGCGCCGAAUUGUAGUCUGUAGAAGCGUCCUCAGCGACGGACUGGGCCCAAGUCCCCUGGAAGGGGGCGCCGGAGAGGGUGAGAGCCCCGUCGGGCCCGGACCCUGUUGCACCACGAGGCGCUGUCGGCGAGUCGGGUUGUUUGGGAAUGCAGCCCUAAUCGGGUGGUAAAUUCCGUCCAAGGCUAAAUACGGGCGAGAGACCGAUAGCGAACAAGUACCGCGAGGGUAAAGAUGAAAAGGACUUUGAAAAGAGAGUUAAAGAGUGCUUGAAAUUGUCGGGAGGGAAGCGGAUGGAGGCCGGCGAUGCUCCCCGGUCGGAUGCGGAACGGUGUGAGCCGGUCCGCCACUCGGCUCGGGGAGUGCGUCAGCGCGGGCCGUCGCGGCGGCACAAGCACGGCUUUUGGGCCGUUGAGUGUACCUCCGUCGCGGCGGUCGUGGAACGAAGCGUGCGCCUUUGGCGGGCCCUCGGGCACCUGCGCGCUCGUGGCGCUGGCUUGCGGGCUUUCCAUCCGACCCGUCUUGAAACACGGACCAAGGAGUCUAACAU
rnacentral:rRNA from 1 species